UACGGGGGGGGCAAGCGUUGUUCGGAAUUACUGGGCGUAAAGGGUUCGUAGGUGGCCAACUUAGUCAGACGUGAAAUCCCUCAGCUUAACUGGGGAACUGCGUCUGAUACUGGAUGGCUGGAGUUUGGGAGAGGGAUGCGGAAUUCCAGGUGUAGCGGUGAAAUGCGUAGAUAUCUGGAGGAACACCGGUGGCGAAGGCGGCAUCCUGGACCAACACUGACGCUGAGGAGCGAAAGCCAGGGGAGCAAACGGG
rnacentral:rRNA from 1 species